GAAAUGCGAUAAGUAGUGUGAAUUGCAGAAUUCAGUGAAUCAUCGAAUCUUUGAACGCACAUUGCGCCCUUUGGUAUUCCAAAGGGCAUGCCUGUUCGAGCGUCAUUUGUACCCUCAAGCUUUGCUUGGUGUUGGGCGUCUUGUCUCUAGCUUUGCUGGAGACUCGCCUUAAAGUAAUUGGCAGCCGGCCUACUGGUUUCGGAGCGCAGCACAAGUCGCACUCUCUAUCAGCAAAGGUCUAGCAUCCACUAAGCCUUUUUUCAACUUUUGACCUCGGAUCAGGUAGGGAUACCCGCUGAACUUAAGC
rnacentral:misc_RNA from 1 species